rnacentral:SRP_RNA from 1 species
GCCGGGCGUUGUGGCGGGCGCCUGUGGUCCCAGCUACUUGGGAGGCUGAGGCAGGAGACUCGCUUGAGCCCAGGAGUUGGAGGUUGCUGUGAGCUGUGAUGCCAUGGCACUCUCUACAAGGGCAAUAAAGUGAGACUCUGUCUCUA